rnacentral:rRNA from 1 species
CCUCUCUCAGUUCGGAUCGAAGUCUGCAACCCGACUUCGUGAAGCUGGAUUCGCUAGUAAUCGCGCAUCAGCCACGGCGCGGUGAAUACGUUCCCGGGCCUUGUACACACCGCCCGUCAAGCCAUGGGAGCCGGGGGUACCUGAAGUACGUAACCGCAAGGAUCGUCCUAGGGUAAAACUGGUGACUGGGGCUAAGUCGUAACAAGGUAGCCGUACCGGAAGGUGCGGCUGGAACACCUCCUUU